CCUACGGGAGGCAGCAGUGGGGAAUAUUGGACAAUGGGGGGAACCCUGAUCCAGCGACGCCGCGUGAGUGAAGAAGUAUCUCGGUAUGUAAAGCUCUAUCAGCAGGGAAGAAAAUGACGGUACCUGACUAAGAAGCCCCGGCUAACUACGUGCCAGCAGCCGCGGUAAUACGUAGGGGGCAAGCGUUAUCCGGAUUUACUGGGUGUAAAGGGAGCGUAGGCGGGGCAGCAAGUCUGAUGGGAAAGGUCGGGGGCGAACCCCGGGACUGCAUUGGAAACUGGUGAACUGGAGUACAGGAGAGGUAAGCGGAAUUCCUAGUGUAGCGGUGAAAUGCGUAGAUAUUAGGAGGAACACCAGUGGCGAAGGCGGCUUACUGGACUGUAACUGACGUUGAGGCUCGAAAGCGUGGGGAGCGAACAGGAUUAGAUACCCGUGUAGUC
rnacentral:rRNA from 1 species